rnacentral:tRNA from 1 species
GUUAGAUGACUGAAUAGUAAGUGCAGAUCUUUUAAAUCUGAAACAGUAGCAUAACUUCUACUUCUAACGAA